GACGAACGCUGGCGGCGUGCCUAAUACAUGCAAGUUGAGCGCUGAAGGUUGGUACUUGUACCAACUGGAUGAGCAGCGAACGGGUGAGUAACGCGUGGGGAAUCUGCCUUUGAGCGGGGGACAACAUUUGGAAACGAAUGCUAAUACCGCAUAAAAACUUUAAACACAAGUUUUAAGUUUGAAAGAUGCAAUUGCAUCACUCAAAGAUGAUCCCGCGUUGUAUUAGCUAGUUGGUGAGGUAAAGGCUCACCAAGGCGAUGAUACAUAGCCGACCUGAGAGGGUGAACGGCCACAGUGGGACUGAGACACGGCCCAAACUCCUACGGGAGGCAGCAGUAGGGAAUCUUCGGCAAUGGACGAAAGUCUGACCGGGCAACGCCGCGGGAGUGAAGAAGGGUUUCGGAUCGUAAAACUCGGUUGGUAGAGAAGAACGUUGGUGAGAGUGGAAAGCUCAUCAAGUGACGGUAACUACCCAGAAAGGGACGGCUAACUACGUG
rnacentral:rRNA from 1 species